CAUAUUAUUUUUCAGAUUCUUUUCCUUUAUAGGUUAUUACGAGAUAUUGAAUAGAGCUCCCUGUUCUAGACAGUAGGUCCCCUUGCUGUUUACCUAUUUUAUAUAUAGUUGUGUGUUAUCUAUUAAUGCCAAACUCCUAAUGUAUCCCUCCCCGCCCCCCGCUAUCCCCUUUGGUAAGGGUAAGCUUUCUACGUUCUAUACGCUUUUAAUGUUGUACAAUAACAAAGCAAAACAACUACACCCCAAACACGCCAAUGAAAACAAAGGCUCUCGGAACGUUUCUUUCAGGUGCCGAACAGUUGCUCUGGAAACAGGGAUGCAAAACGCGCAGCUGUGCUCCACCAUCGUCCAGCUGUCCUUCACCGCCGAGGAGCUCAAUCUCAUAUUCACCUUCCCGCUCAUCUACAGCAUCUUCCAGCUCGCCAUAGCAGCAAUAUUCUUAGCACACUUUGGAACCAGAUGAGAAGUAGAAGAAAAAAGAAUCAGAUAUUUAGAUAACAAAAUAGCACUUUUAUUAUAGAUAAAGCUUAAUUAGAAAAUAUGGCUCAAAACAACGACCACAUGGGCUUGGUAAUACCAUCCCUCUCCACUGCUUCCUACACGUGCACUUAGCACACGCAUACACACAUCAACUGCAGGCCAGUCUGUCCAGCUGUGAGCUGACCUCAAAAAAUAUGCUGAGAAAUGGCGGCCACCAGAGACUAGCAGCUUCAGGGAAGAAAGGAAGGCUGAUCACCCAUAAGACAAGGCUCCCCCAUCAUAGGAAAGAGAGAGUGGAGCCUGGGAGAGACAGUUAUUCCAGCUCAAGUCCUCCAACACAGACCAGUGGACCCGGGUCCUGACAAUGCCCCUUAGCUUGUAGCAUAUUAUUGAGCAGUAGUACAUAACUGCGAGAUAGGAGGGACAGAAUAACUGUUCGCUGUUGUUGUUACUGGUGAGUACCACCUGCAGGGCUGAUGCCUGCAGAAAUCAGGUGAGCAAAUAGCGCUUAGCUGUGCGCUAGGUCCUUCUGAAGUGCAGUCAGCCCUCUUGCCAUGAGCAAUCACGGAACUAAGAAUGAUGAUCGCGCUAAGUAGCCUCCAGCCCACAGAAAAUGCCCACUGCUUUUUGAGACAUAGGUUAUAAUCACUGUCCAAAGUAAAUUUGCAGCUUAUUUUUAUGAAAUUUGCUUAACCUGCUGUGUAUUGUUUUCUAGUCUACGUAGCAUACAAGAAAUAUGACAGAAAAAACAAUAUGGAACUUCCAGAGGGCAAAGGCAAUGAACCAGUCCCUGAGUCACCACUCCAAAAGGUGAAUGAAGGAUUUCAACCAGAUGAAAAGCACACACCAGUGGACCAAAAAGAAAAAUUCUAAAGAACACGCACCAGCUAUAACAAUAUUUAAUUAUUUGUUUUGAUGGGAUAUUUGGCAGAAAAAAACGUUAAGGAGAAAAUUUAAGUUUGAAUUGAAUUCAUGUAUUGGUUUUGGUACCAUGUGACUGGUGGUCCAAAUCCUUAAUGUGACAAAUAUUUAUACAUAUAUACAUACAUAUACAUAUAUAUAUUGUCCUUGAAUAUGCCCCCAAAAUA